UGAAAGUGCCUCUGAUUGGUCCCCUCC
rnacentral:piRNA from 1 species